AACUUUCGACAAUGGAUCUCUUGGCUCUCGCAUCGAUGAAGAACGCAGCGAAAUGCGAUAAGUAAUCUGAAUUGCAGAAUUCAGUGAAUCAUCGAAUCUUUGAACGCACCUUGCGCCCUUUGGCUAUUCCGAAGGGCAUGCCUGUUUGAGUAUCAUGAACACCUCAACUCGCACGGUUUCUCGUGAUGAGCUUGGACUUGGGGGUUUUGUUGGCCUGUGGUCAGCUCUCCUCAAACGAAUUAGCUUGCCGGUGUCUGGCGGCGUCAUGGGUGUGAUAACCAUCUACGCUUGUGAUCGUCCGUGAGGUAAACCUCUGGUCUGCAGAGGUUCGCCGGAGCUUAUAGACGUCUCUCCUCGGUGAAGACAGCUGUCUGAAGUUCGAUCUCAAAUCAGGUAGGACUACCCGCUGAACUUAAGCAUAUCAAUAAGCGGAGGCU
rnacentral:misc_RNA from 1 species